rnacentral:lncRNA from 1 species
UGCUGGAUCCAUUCUUUCUUGCGGUGUUGCUUGAAGGGUUGGAUGCUACGACACUGGAUGUCGCAGCGAUUACAUAGAAUCCAAAAAAAUAACAGCAGAUUAAAGUGUAAAUCGGAAAGAAAACGAACCUGAUCUAGGUGAGGAAUUUAUUGGAUCUAAUGAACUCCUUAAGCACACUGAAUCCAUAUGCACCAGCUUACUUUGUUUUUCAUUGGCUGGAGAGAGAGAGAUAAUGGAGAUAAGGAACAUGCUCUGGAUGGAUUGGAUCGGUUGUACAUGUGAGAGAGAUAUCCAUUAUGUAGAAUAGGAAGAGUCCGUGAAGGGAGAGAAAGAUGGCGUGCGUAGAUGAAGAGGCCGUGUAGUAUAAAAGUACAUAGAGCUUUUUUUUGUAUCAAGGAGAUAGAGA